UACAGAGGUCUCAACCGUUGUUCGGAUUCAUUGGGCGUAAAGGGUGCGUAGGCGUUCGGGUAAGUCGGAUGUGAAAUCCCAGGGCUCAACCCUGGAACUGCAUUCGAUACUGCCUGGCUAGGGUACUGGAGAGGAGACUGGAAUUUACGGUGUAGCAGUGAAAUGCGUAGAUAUCGUAAGGAAGACCAGUGGCGAAGGCGAGUCUCUGGACAGUUACCGACGCUGAGGCACGAAGGUCAGGGGAGCAAACGGG
rnacentral:rRNA from 1 species